AGGGUUUUUGAGUUUAGUGGUUUAAUUUCUUGGAUUCUUCUAGAGUUUGAUUUUUAGGGUUUUGAUAGUUUGUCAAUUCUCUUGGAUUUCAUUUUUUCUAAUAUUUUUGAGAUUUAUUUCUUAAAUUCAGUCUCUCACAGGUUAAGUUUACAACAUUUUUAUUUAAGUCUGGUGUUUAUUUGAUUCUGGUUUUCUGAAACAUUAGUUUUUCAGCGGUUGGCUGGUUCCCGAAGGAAUUGAUGAUUGGCUAUCAAGAAAUAUAGAUAUCAGUUUAUGUAUAAAGCUAAAGUGGAGUAUUCGUUUUAUUGUCACAACACAAGGAGUUAAUAGAUUAUGGAGAUGCAUGGAGGAUGCAGUUGGAUGCGUUUGGAUCAAUUAUACAGUUAUGUUCAAGAAGGGUGCAUUUGAAACUUUAUUGCACAGUUUGGCCAUUUGCAAUCAAGUAGAACCAAAUUCUCAUUCGGCCACCCUCUCUUUCUCAAGUGGUUCGCAACACAAACAGUUGAUGUUGCUAGACCAAAACAUGCAACAUGGAAGGAGCUGACCAGUUUCUGUUAGAUGUUGCUCAAAAUCCAAAUGAUACAGAAGAGUCCAUAUGGUGCAAUCUGUGUAAAGCUCAACUAUUUGGAGUCGAUGAAGCAAAGCAAGGAAACGAUACCUUAAGGCAUGUCAUUGAUUCUAAUACUACUAGUUAGGAAGUUAUCACAAACAAAGAAAAUGACAAUAUUCAAUUAGAUCAUGUCAAGGUAGUAAGAUGAAGUUGUCCUAUACACUAUAGUCUACAAAGAUAGUUAAUAGUAGAAUUUAUCAUUUUUAGGUUCUAAAUGAAUAUUAGUUGACUGUACUGGGAUAUUUAUUAACAUGUACUUCAUUUAAACAAUGAUAGCCAUUAAGAAUUUUUUUUAACCUCCGCUCUAUCAUCAAUUGUAGAAA